CAGAAAAUAAAAAUUGACUGUCUUUUAACCACAAAAGUUUCAACGGUUAAAAAAACACAUACUUUGAACAACAGAUUUCGUUCUUAAAUGCAAAUGUAUUUAAUUCUGAAAUAGUUCUUAAAUGCAAACGUAUGCAAAUAAAAGCUGAGGGGUGCAAGAAUGAUGUCACGGUUUUAUUGUCCUUUGUUUGGUCUUUAAAAGCCCGUCUUUUCUCACUUCUGCAGCCAAACGCUAAACUUUCCUCAAAGCUCCAAACUUUCCAGACCUCCAAAAUGGAAAACGAAAUCUGCACAGACGAAGGAGUCCAAAACGAUCCUCCGAAGAACCAGCAGACUUCGGUGGACCUCAACAGCCUCAUCGGCGACCAGGACCCCACGACGGAAACGGAGCAGGUCGCUGAAGUUUCAGAGAGCCUCUCGGUGGAAGAUCCACAAACCGUGCCGGGAGCCUCGACUUUUCGGGUUCUUCAGGAUCCAUCUCCGCCUCCUGAGGCCCCCGCCGGUCCCUCAGCUCCACCGUCUCCUCACGGUCCAGCGGAACGUCCUCUUUCUCCGGCCGGGUCCUCCGCCUCCUGGAGCACCGAGAGGAGCAGGUCCAGAUCCCGGAGUAGAUCCAGGAGCAGCAAAAAGUCCCGUCGAAACGGCGGUCGAAGGGAGUCUUCGAGAAGAGACAGGAGGAGGUUUUCAGUAAGAAGAGACAGAAGAGGGUCAGCCAGACGACACCGAUUAUCGUGUUGCCGCUGUAAAAAGAUUGAUGCGCUGUUGAUGAAAAUGGGAAAUGAACUUAUGCACACUGCAUCUGCAACUGUAUCAGCCUUGAAACCAUUCUAUCACAUUUGAGGUGUUUUUGUUGUUGUUUAGGUUUGUUUCAAGUCAUAUUGUAAACAAGGUGUGAUAUUAAAGUAACCAUGGCUAAAAAUGUAAGUGACUGGUUGAAUGAAUAAUAAACCUUAAACCAAGAACCUUUU